rnacentral:ncRNA from 2 species
AUUUAGAGCUAGGGGAGCUAAUAUUUUUAGCUGAGAAUGAAGAUUAAAUCUUCUAGACCCUCGAACCUGAUAUGGCUAGCACCAUCGUAGGAAAGCACAAAUAAUACUAA